UACGUAGGCAGCAAGCGUUGUUCGGAGUUACUGGGCGUAAAGGGUGCGUAGGCGGCUUUUUAAGUUUGGUGUGAAAUCUCCCGACUCAACUGGGAGGGUGCGCCGAAUACUGAGAGGCUAGAGUGUGGGAGAGGAAAGUGGAAUUCCUGGUGUAGCGGUGAAAUGCGUAGAUAUCAGGAGGAACACCGGUGGUGUAAACGGCUUUCUGGACCAUAACUGACGCUGAGGCACGAAAGCGUGGGUAGCAAACAGG
rnacentral:rRNA from 1 species